AGAGUUUGAUCUGGCUCAGGAUGAACGCUAGCUACAGGCUUAACACAUGCAAGUCGAGGGGCAUCAGUUUGGUUUGCUUGCAAACCAAAGCUGGCGACCGGCGCACGGGUGAGUAACACGUAUCCAACCUGCCUCAUACUCGGGGAUAGCCUUUCGAAAGAAAGAUUAAUAUCCGAUAGCAUAUAUUUCCCGCAUGGGUUUUAUAUUAAAGAAAUUCGGUAUGAGAUGGGGAUGCGUUCCAUUAGUUUGUUGGGGGGGUAACGGCCCACCAAGACUACGAUGGAUAGGGGUUCUGAGAGGAAGGUCCCCCACAUUGGAACUGAGACACGGUCCAAACUCCUACGGGAGGCAGCAGUGAGGAAUAUUGGUCAAUGGACGCGAGUCUGAACCAGCCAAGUAGCGUGAAGGAUGACUGCCCUAUGGGUUGUAAACUUCUUUUAUAUGGGAAUAAAGUUGUCCACGUGUGGAUUUUUGUAUGUACCAUAUGAAUAAGGAUCGGCUAACUCCGUGCCAGCAGCCGCGGU
rnacentral:rRNA from 1 species